rnacentral:rRNA from 1 species
AACGAACGCUGGCGGCAUGCCUAACACAUGCAAGUCGAACGAGACCUUCGGGUCUAGUGGCGCACGGGUGCGUAACGCGUGGGAACCUGCCCUUAGGUUCGGAAUAACUCCCCGAAAGGGGUGCUAAUACCGGAUAAUGUCUUCGGACCAAAGAUUUAUCGCCUUUGGAUGGGCCCGCGUUGGAUUAGCUAGUUGGUAGGGUAAAAGCCUACCAAGGCGAGGAUCUAUAGCUGGUCUGAGAGGAUGAUCAGCCACACUGGGACUGAGACGCGGCCCAGACUCCUACGGGAGGGAGCAGUGGGGAAUAUUGGAAAAUGGGCGGAAGCCUGAUGCAGCAAUGCCGGGUGAGUGAUGAAGGCCUUAGGGUAGUAAAGCUCUUUUACCCGGGAUGAUAAUGACAGUACCGGGAGAAUAAGCUCCGGCUAACUCCGUG